UACUAACGCUGAGAUACGAUGUCGAGCUACUACGGUAGUGAAGUCAUUGAUGCCAUGCUUCCAGGAAAAGCCUCUAAGCUUCAGAUUGUAAGGAAUCGUACCCCAAACCGACACAGGUGGUCGGGUAGAGAAUACCAAGGCGCUUGAGAGAACUCGGGUGAAGGAACUAGGCAAAAUGGUACCGUAACUUCGGGAGAAGGUACGCUCUUAUCAGUGAAGUCCCUUGCGGAUGGAGCAGACGAGAGUCGCAGAUACCAGGUGGCUGCAACUGUUUAUUAAAAACACAGCACUGUGCAAAAUCGUAAGAUGACGUAUACGGUGUGACGCCUGCCCGGUGCCGGAAGGUUAAUUGAUGGGGUUAGACUUCGGUCGAAGCUCUUGAUCGAAGCCCCGGUAAACGGCGGCCGUAACUAUAACGGUCCUAAGGUAGCGAAAUUCCUUGUCGGGUAAGUUCCGACCUGCACGAAUGGCGUAAUGAUGGCCACGCUGUCUCCACCCGAGACUCAGUGAAAUUGAAAUCGCUGUGAAGAUGCAGUGUACCCGCGGCUAGACGGAAAGACCCCGUGAACCUUUACUACAGCUUGGCACUGAACAUUGAACCUACAUGUGUAGGAUAGGUGGGAGACUAUGAAAUUGCGUCGCUAGAUGUGAUGGAGUCGUCCUUGAAAUACCACCCUUGUAGUUUUGAUGUUCUAACGUUGGUCCCUGAAUCGGGAUUACGGACAGUGCCUGGUGGGUAGUUUGACUGGGGCGGUCUCCUCCCAAAGAGUAACGGAGGAGCACGAAGGUGGGCUAAACACGGUUGGACAUCGUGUGGUUAGUGCAAUGGCAUAAGCCCGCUUGACUGCGAGAAUGACAAUUCGAGCAGGUGCGAAAGCAGGUCAUAGUGAUCCGGUGGUUCUGAAUGGAAGGGCCAUCGCUCAACGGAUAAAAGGUACUCCGGGGAUAACAGGCUGAUACCGCCCAAGAGUUCAUAUCGACGGCGGUGUUUGGCACCUCGAUGUCGGCUCAUCACAUCCUGGGGCUGAAGUCGGUCCCAAGGGUAUGGCUGUUCGCCAUUUAAAGUGGUACGCGAGCUGGGUUUAGAACGUCGUGAGACAGUUCGGUCCCUAUCUGCCGUGGGCGUUGGAAAAUUGAAAGGGGCUGCUCCUAGUACGAGAGGACCGGAGUGGACGAACCUCUGGUGUUCGGGUUGUCAUGCCAAUGGCAUUGCCCGGUAGCUAAGUUCGGAAUCGAUAACCGCUGAAAGCAUCUAAGCGGGAAGCGAGCCUUGAGAUGAGUUUUCCCUGGCACUAUAAGUGUCCUAAAGGGUUGUCGUAGACUACGACGUUGAUAGGCAGGGUGUGUAAGUGCUGCGAGGCAUUGAGCUAACCUGUACUAAUUGCCCGUGAGGCUUAACCAUACAACACCCAAGGGGUUU
rnacentral:rRNA from 1 species